UACGAAGGGAGCUAGCGUUGUUCGGAAUCACUGGGCGUAAAGCGCACGUAGGCGGUUAUUUAAGUCGGGUGUGAAAGCCCCGGGCUCAACCUGGGAAUUGCAUUCGAGACUGAAUAGCUAGGGUGCGGUAGAGGGAAGCGGAAUUUCCGGUGUAGCGGUGAAAUGCGUAGAUAUCAGAAGGAACAUCAGUGGCGAAAGCGGCUUCCUGGACCAGAACUGACGAUCAGGCACGAAAGCGUGGGGAUCAAACAGG
rnacentral:rRNA from 1 species